ACAUUGUAUGAAAGGAGAGAAGGUUAGCACUCCCCUUGACAAGGAUGGAAGAGGCCCUUGUAGUCCAGGCAAAGUAACCCAUUUUGGAGCCAAAAAAUUUGGCUCCAAAAUUUGUAU